rnacentral:lncRNA from 1 species
UCCCAGCACCUGGGAGGCAGAGGCAGAAGGAUUGCAAGUGCUAAGCCAGUCUGAGAUAUCUAACAAGAUCCUGUCUCAAAAAGCUAACCAAUAGGCACCUAUUUGAGGGUAGGGGUCAGUUUUCCUGCAUGCGCUAAGCCUGGACUUGAUCCAGUGGUAUCCUAACCAGUGGCCAAUGCAUCUGCCCUGCUCUGAGCCUUCCAAGUUCUGUUAAAAUAGGGAAGGGUCAAACUCAGGAGGAGUGGCAGACCUGUAAACACUACUUUUCAAAGUGAAGAGGACAGCUGUUGAUAUUUUCUAUGUCUAAUCAAACCAAACGGAUUUAACAAUCUCAUCUGUUUAUAAACCUUUUUAACUUUAGGAACUUAAAACCACAGUCUGAAAGUCUGUUACCAGCUGGUGUCAAUAUCUUUCUGUCUGGCUGAAUUUUAUAGAUUAGUUUUGUUUUGUUUUAAAUACCUUUAAGCAGCAAAAUGUGUCUAAAAUAGGUCUGUUGCCAUAUUGUGAAUUCUGUAUCAUCAUUUAAUGAACUUCAAUGUCCUUACAGAAUUAAAUAGUGGCUUCAUAAAAUAGAUCUACCAAAAGCUGCCAUUUCAGCAUCUUCAUAUACUCCUUCCACACAUGCACUCUUAAGUUGAUGCCCUGUUGUGUUUAGAACAGUUUGGUAACCCCAGUCCUCAAAGCCAUGUCUGAUAUGGCUUAAAUGUUUUUUUUAAAAAGCAGGACUUGCCUUACUAUCCAACCUGGCUUCAAACAUGUUAUCCUCCAGUCUCAGACUCCUGGAUACUAGAAUCAUGCAUGCACUACACUGCCAUGCUAGCCUUCAUCUGCCUUUGUUUCAGUAUGUAGCCUAGGCUAGCCUUGAACUUAGAGCAAUCCUCUUGCUUCUGCCUCACAAAUGCUAAGGAUACAAGUGUAUGUCACUAUGCCUGCCUUUUAGGCUUACUUCUUGAGUCAAGCCCAGUGAGCUUGUCUGUUUCCUGUCCACUACACAUUGAUAUAAACAUGGUAAGAACUGCUGACUCUGGGACAAUUGUGAGAAAGCCCCCACUGCUACUUUGCCUCUCUUCCAUAUGCUAAAGGUCAGAUCCCCAUCUGCGAGCCACUUCCUCUUCAGUUCCCCAACCUCAGGAGCCCGUGGGCCAAUGCUUUCAACCUCCUAUAUGUAGUUUCACCCUACAGCAGCCUAAGCUGGAUUCCUGACUGACCCAGGAGGCUGCAUGCAUGCUGUCUAGAGCCUCGCUCAGCACAGUGCCGGCCUCAUCCCCACACCAGCCAUCGUCACUCUAAUGUAUCCUCCUUCCAGAACCACAGUCUUCUCAUCUAGGCAAGAAUGUGACAACACUCAGCCUCGUGAAAAUCUCUGGGUGCUUAUGGCCCUGUCACACAAAAGGGAAUGAGUGUUGUUUGAUAGUACUUGUAUCUCAACAAUUAUUUUUAAUAAAACUUGCAUUU